GUAGCGGAGGUUGUGACGAAAGGCAGCGACGACGACUAGGAAAGCCAUUAAUGGCGAUGAUGGCGAGUUAUCUUUCUCCAAUUAUGUUAUGCGACCCUUGAUGAUGAUAUGCGGUGAUUUCCAACCUGAAUUGAAUCUAAACCGUGAAGGUGGAAGGAAGCUACCCCAAUCGAACUCGCUCAGCAAGAACCACCCAUUAUAAUGGUAGUUCGAAAGUUUUCAUACGAAUCCUCAAGAAGAGUCUUGCCAUAUCACCAUAUGCAAUGAAACUUAGUUCAUCUAAUGCUCCUCCAACAACAUUCUGGAACCAUAUAUUCCGCCACCAUUGAUGUCAUUGAUAAUGUGUAAGUGUAGUAUUGGAAAGAGGCGAGUGUGAUGGCUUGAAGCUCUUGAAGCAUAUAAGUUGUUCUACCUUUUGAAUAAAACAAUCAUGAAAGUAG